rnacentral:misc_RNA from 1 species
GAUGAAGAACGCAGCGAAAUGCGAUAAGUAAUGUGAAUUGCAGAAUUCCGUGAAUCAUCGAAUCUUUGAACGCACAUUGCGCCCGCUAGUAUCCUGGCGGGCAUGCCUGUCCGAGCGUCAUUUCAACCCUCAAGCCCCCGGGCUUGGUGUUGGGGAUCGGCGAGCCUCCGCGCCCGCCGUCCCCUAAAUCUAGUGGCGGUCUCGCUGUAGCUUCCUCUGCGUAGUAGCACACCUCGCACUGGGAAACAGCGCGGCCACGCCGUUAAACCCCCAACUUCUGAACGUUUGACCUCGGAUCAGGUAGGAAUACCCGCUGAACUUAAGCAUAUCAAUAAGCGGAGGA